rnacentral:rRNA from 1 species
CACGUAGGGGACGAGCGUUGUCCGGAUUCAUUGGGCGUAAAGCGCGCGUAGGCGGACCUGCAAGUCGGGGGUGAAAGCCCGAGGCUCAACCUCGGAACUGCCUUCGAUACUGCGGGUCUCGAGUCCGGGAGAGGUGAGUGGAAUUCCUAGUGUAGAGGUGAAAUUCGUAGAUAUUCGGAAGAACACCAGUGGCGAAGGCGGCUCACUGGACCGGUAUUGACGCUGAGGUGCGAAAGCGUGGGGAGCAAACAGG